rnacentral:rRNA from 1 species
GAUGAACGCUGGCGGCGUGGAUAAGGCAUGCAAGUCGAACGAAAUCUUUCCUGAAGAAGUUGCGAUUACAUCAAGAUGACGGAUUGAAGGAUUUAGUGGCGAACGAGUUAGUAACACCUUGGUAACGUACCUCCGAGUCGGGCACAACGGGUCGAAAGAUCCGCUAAUUCCCGAUAGUCCCGCAAGGGUAAAGUCGCAAGACGCUUGGAGAGCGGCCUAGGUCCUAUCAGCUUGUGGCGGGGUAACGGCCCACCAAGGCUACGACGGGUAGGGGUGUGAGAGCAUGACCCUCAACGACGAAACUGAGAUACGGUUCGUACACCUACGGGUGGCAGCAGUCGAGAAUAUUCGACAAUGGGCGAAAGCCUGAUCGAGCGACGCCGCGUGCAGGAUGAAGGCCU